rnacentral:tRNA from 1 species
UGAAAAGGCAUAAGCUUAGUAGGGCUGCUAACUUUACUAUAAGAGUAUAAAGUCUCUUCUUUUCAU